AUUGAACGCCGGCGGCAUGCCUUACACAUGCAAGUCGAACGGUAACAGGUCUUCGGAUGCUGACGAGUGGCGAACGGGUGAGUAAUACAUCGGAACGUGCCUAGUAGUGGGGGAUAACUACUCGAAAGAGUGGCUAAUACCGCAUGAGAUCUACGGAUGAAAGCAGGGGAUCGCAAGACCUUGCGCUACUAGAGCGGCCGAUGGCAGAUUAGGUAGUUGGUGGGAUAAAAGCUUACCAAGCCGACGAUCUGUAGCUGGUCUGAGAGGACGAUCAGCCACACUGGGACUGAGACACGGCCCAGACUCCUACGGGAGGCAGCAGUGGGGAAUUUUGGACAAUGGGCGAAAGCCUGAUCCAGCAAUGCCGCGUGCAGGAUGAAGGCCUUCGGGUUGUAAACUGCUUUUGUACGGAACGAAAAGCCCCGGGUUAAUACCCUGGGGUCAUGACGGUACCGUAAGAAUAAGCACCGGCUAACUUCGUGCCAGCCGCCGCAGUAA
rnacentral:rRNA from 1 species